rnacentral:rRNA from 1 species
GCUAAACGCGAAGAACCUUACCAAGGCUUGACAUACACCAGAACACCCUGGAAACAGGGGACUCUUUGGACACUGGUGAACAGGUGGUGCAUGGUUGUCGUCAGCUCGUGUCGUGAGAUGUUGGGUUAAGUCCCGCAACGAGCGCAACCCUCGUUCUAUGUUGCCAGCACGUUAUGGUGGGAACUCAUGGGAUACUGCCGGGGUCAACUCGGAGGAAGGUGGGGAUGACGUCAAAUCAUCAUGCCCCUUAUGUCUUGGGCUUCACGCAUGCUACAAUGGCCGGUACAAUGGGCUGCGAUACCGUAAGGUGGAGUGAAUCCCAAAAAGCCGGUCCCAGUUCGGAUUGAGGUCUGCAACUCGACCUCAUGAAGUCGGAGUCGCUAGUAAUCGCAGAUCAGCAACGCUGCGGUGAAUACGUUCCCGGGUCUUGUACACACCG